CGAAGAAUCGAUUUCUACCAGCACUCCAUCAUGGAACCGAACCAAGGCCUCGACGGCAAAUUAUAUAGGCAAAUAAAGCAAUCUCAUUCGGUAACAGGGCAGAUCACACACGCAGGCAGAGAUGUGAGAAGAGAUUACACACACUUCGGUAUCAACUGGAUCGAGGGUACAUGCAGGGGAAACCAGCUCCUGCAGCUGCAAGGAAUAAAAUCACUACAUAGGUGGUUACAACAAGCUCUUUCUUCCUCGAUCCGGAGCUGAAGCCGUUCCUGUACAACGCUGGAAGCACGGGCAAGAGCUCUAGAAUCCUCUCUAUUUCUAGCUGACGAAGAUGAUGGAGGGGUCACAGCAGCACUCGUCGAUCAGGCAGCAGCAGCAAAGCGCGGCCAGGCUGCGAACACAAACACAGGCACAACAAAAGUGAGCUCGCUUGCAGACUUGUGCCUACACCCGAUAGCUAAAACAUGCUAUAUAUAGCGCAUGAACAAGAACAAGGAGUUGAUUGGGCGUGCAUACCAGCCUUCGAGGAAGCUCGGCUGCCUCCUCGGCGGCGGCGCGGCGUACUGCGGCGGCGCCAUCACCGGCGGGCCCUGGUACGGCCCCUGGUAGUAGCCUUUUGCCAUGCGCAAACCAAGAAAGAAACAUCCCGUCAGAACCACACCUAGCUAUUCUCCACAAAUCAAGAGAUUGAGCAGCUGCGGAUAUUACCUUGUGCCGGGUAGGGGUAGGCGUACUUGGGAUCGCUCAUCUUCUUCCUCUGUUCCUCCUCCGGGGAGGCUUCAAUUGCCUAGCUCCCGAAAGGUGGAAGAAGCAAGCCGAGGCCGAGCAGCUGCUGGAAGUUAGAAACAGAAGGUGACGCGACGACGCGGACGGCAGGCGGCAGCGGGGAAUGGAGCAGGUGGUGGCGCCUGCGACAGGGGGGCGUGGCUCACUUUAUAGGCCGACGGCGCGCGAGCCGUGUCGCGGCGAGAGGACGUGGCGGCGCGACGUGUCGGCCUCGCGCUUGUGGCCGGCGGGAGGGGGUUGGAACGGGUGGAAGCAUCUGGAACGCCCGCGGGCGAGG
rnacentral:lncRNA from 1 species